rnacentral:rRNA from 1 species
GAUGAACGCUGGCGGCGUGCCUAAUACAUGCAAGUCCAGCGAACAGACGAGGAGCUUGCUCCUCUGACGUUAGCGGCGGACGGGUGAGUAACACGUGGAUAACCUACCUAUAAGACUGGGAUAACUUCGGGAAACCGGAGCUAAUACCGGAUAACAUGUUGAACCGCAUGGUUUAACAGUGAAAGACGGUCUUGCUGUCACUUAUAGAUGGAUCCGCGCCGCAUUAGCUAGUUGGUAAGGUAACGGCUUACCAAGGCAACGAUGCGUAGCCGACCUGAGAGGGUGAUCGGCCACACUGGAACUGAGACACGGUCCAGACUCCUACGGGAGGCAGCAGUAGGGAAUCUUCCGCAAUGGGCGAAAGCCUGACGGAGCAACGCCGCGUGAGUGAAGAAGGUCUUCGGAUCGUAAAACUCUGUUAUUAGGGAAGAACAAAUGUGUAAGUAACUAUGCACGUCUUGACGGUACCUAAUCAGAAAGCCACGGCUAACUACGUG